rnacentral:rRNA from 1 species
AUUACGGGUACGGGGAUUAGGGUUCGAUUCCGGAGAGGGAGCCUGAGAAACGGCUACCACAUCCAAGGAAGGCAGCAGGCGCGCAAAUUACCCAAUCCCAACACGGGGAGGUAGUGACAAUAAAUAACAAUAUGGGGCCUUUACGGGUCUCGUAAUUGGAAUGAGUACAAUUUAAAUCUCUUAACGAGGAACAAUUGGAGGGCAAGUCUGGUGCCAGCAGCCGCGGUAAUUCCAGCUCCAAUAGCGUAUAUUAAAGUUGUUGCAGUUAAAAAGCUCGUAGUUGAAUUUCGGGAUCUAUCCGUCGGUCGGGCCUCACGGUCCGCACUGGUGUGAUGGAUUCCUACCUUCUGAAUAACCGGUAUGCCAUUAAUUUGAUGUGCCGGGGAAGCAGAACCAUUACCUUGAAAAAAUUAGAGUGCUCAAAGCAGGCCUAUGCCUGAAUACAUUAGCAUGGAAUAAUAAAAUAGGACGGCAUGGUUCUAUUUUGUUGGUUUCUAGGAUCACCGUAAUGAUUAAUAGGGAUAGUUGGGGGCAUUAGUAUUCAAUUGUCAGAGGUGAAAUUCUUGGAUUUAUUGAAGACUAACUUCUGCGAAAGCAUUUGCCAAGGAUGUUUUCAUUAAUCAAGAACGAAAGUUAGGGGAUCGAAGACGAUCAGAUACCGUCGUAGUCUUAACCAUAAACUAUGCCGACUAGGGAUCGGACGAUGUUAAUUUUAUAAUGACUCGUUCGGCGCCUUACGGGAAACCAAANNUUUNGGNUUC